rnacentral:rRNA from 1 species
GAUGAACGCUAGCGGCAGGCCUAAUACAUGCAAGUCGAACGCUCAGUAGCAAUACUGGGAGUGGCGCACGGUGCGUAACGCGUACACAAUCUACCUCUAAGCGGGGACACCUCCUGGAAACGGGGAUUAAUACCGCAUAAUAUGCCGAAGUCGCAUGACUUUGGUAUUAAAGCAGCAAUGCACUUAGAGAUGAGUGUGCGUCCCAUUAGGUAGUUGGUGAGGUAACGGCUCACCAAGCCUAUGAUGGGUAGCCGGUCUGAGAGGAUGGGUCGGCCACACGGGCACUGAGACACGGGCCCGACUCCUACGGGAGGCAGCAGUAAGGAAUAUUGGUCAAUGGUGGAAACACUGAACCAGCCAUGCCGCGUGGAGG